UUGAGGGUACAAGGGGGCCUGAAGACACACCCAGGUGUCCUUGGCCUCCAGGAGGGGAUCGUUCUGUUAGCCCUUUUUCUCACGCUCCCAGGACCAGUGGCUUGUCCACACCCGGGACAGCAUUCUCCUGACAUCGUGAAAGGCACAACCCAGUAGCUCCCCGGUGUUUGCAAAGGCACGGAUGCCCGGCACGGGUGUCGCAUUUCACAGCCUACGAAGCCCUUUAUCCUGCACCACACAUCGCUACCCCCUCACUCCUCUAGAACUUUACAGUGUGUACAUCACAAAGCAUCUGCAGGGAUCAGGGAUGCCGACCCCAGCCUUACAGAUGAGGACAUGUAGGCCCAGGGAGUCACACUUGGGCCCGAGACCCUGCCUCUGGGGGUGGCCUUGGGGAUGAGGUUCCCCGAGGGGAAGAGGUCCGUUUCCGGCUCUGCCCCAGUGCCCUGGGCUCGGCCUCCUGCCGAUGAUGGAGCCUUCCUGAAUGAGGCUUGGGAACGCUGCCACUGUUCAAUGAGCUAAUGGUGAAAUCAGAAACUCAAGGGCUGGUAGCAGAGGCAAAAAAAAAAAAAAAAAAAAAAAAAAAAAAAAAAAGACAAGCUUUGAUUCAUGGGCCAGAGGAUCAGUGAAUGGGGAAGACAGCCCGUGAAGACGGGGACCAAGUCUCUUAGUUGCCUCUACUGGUCUUGAAUGAAAGAACAAGGGAAUUUUUACGGUGUCAGAUCUGGUUCCUAGUGGCGGCCUCCCUGAGCCGGGCGUUAUCAUCACAGGACAGCUUAUGCACCAGUUUCCCAAAUUAACGGAGAUGUCUUCCGUGUGCUGGGAGGGUGACAACGAAACUUCCUGGCCUGAGAUGGGGCAACAAAGAAUGUGAACCUCAAGAGGACAGGCCCCCCCUUGUCUAAGGGCACUUGGCGUUGAAUGAAUGGAGAUGCUGCCUGCUGUUUCCCCAGGAUGCCCGCAACGGCUGCCUCGGUCCUGUGCUGGAAAAGGGCAGAACCUGAGGACUAGAGAAGUUCAGCAGUUAGCCCAAGAACGCAGCAGCAGAGCUGGGCCCAAGAUGGGGUUCUUUGCACUUCCUGUGAGAUUGGGCUGCUCCGUCCACCUGCCAGCCAUCGGGAGCCGUCCCAGGAUCCUCCCUGCGGAGAAGGCCCUCUGUGCUCGAAGGCCCUGUGGAGAAGCGGGAAGAUCCUCCCAGAAGAGCAGCCAGCGAAGCCUCCUCUCCUGCCAUUGUCCCAAGUCCCCUCCUCACAGCUUCCCUCUGCAGAGCCAGCCCCCAGUGACCAGGUCUCCUCUCCCCGGGACCACUGGGACAACGCUUGGCAACUGACCUAUAUUCCUCUCCAGCGCUAUUUGCCGCCUGAGUCCCCUCCCACCCAGCGCACAACCCCACCCUGCACUGACACCUCCAUCCAUCCAAGGACGUUGUAAAAAUAAAAUGAU